CAGCCGUAAACUAUGCGCGUUAGGUGUACUGGUGACCACGAGUCACCGGGUGCCGAAGGGAAACCGUGAAACGUGCCGCCUGGGAAGUACGGUCGCAAGGCUGAAACUUAAAGGGAAUUGGCGGGGGAGGCACCACAACGGGUGGAGCCUGCGGUUUAAUUUGGACUCAACGCCGGGAAGCUCACCGGAUAGGACAGCAGAAUGAUUGCCGGGCUGAAGACCCUGCAUGACUAGCUGAGAGGAGGUGCAUGGCGUCAGUGACU
rnacentral:rRNA from 1 species